CCUAUGAUCAGAAGUCAGAGCCAAUAAACCCCCUGUGAGCUGAUCGUGUGUUACACUCGCCGAUUAUGCAACUGGGAGCGUAUUUUUUGACUGGAAAAUACCAAAAUACCCUUUCAAUUGUUUUAUUUUUUAAAUUACAGAUUCACCCAAUAAAAGAUCCAUCUUUCAAUUUAGUCCUUAACAUUUUCAAAAAGCCCUCUUCUCCAAAUCAACCAUCCGUUACCACAAGUCGUCUUUAUCUUCCCAUUUCCGGCGAGCCCGUGAGAUUGAGAAGGAGAAUCCCAUCGGGGCUUCGGGUUUCAAGAAUCCGGGUUGUCAGAUUGUUUUCUUCUCGCCG
rnacentral:lncRNA from 1 species